rnacentral:rRNA from 1 species
UACGGAGGGUGCAAGCGUUGUUCGGAAUCACUGGGCGUAAAGGGCGCGUAGGCGGUUCCACAAGUCCGAUGUGAAAGCCCGGGGCUCAACCCCGGAAGUGCAUUGGAAACUGUGGGACUUGAGUUCGGGAGAGGAAGGCAGAAUUCCCGGUGUAGGGUUGAAAUCCGUAGAUAUCGGGAGGAAAACCGGUGGCGAAGGCGGCCUUCUGGAACGAAACUGACGCUGAGGCGCGAAAGCGUGGGGAGCAAACAGG